rnacentral:misc_RNA from 1 species
AACAAAACAAAACAUAAUUCCUUCACAUCUAAAAAUCUAAUUCCUUCUCAUCUAACAAACACAGAAAUUUGAAUCAGAAUUUCAGUCAAUAACUAACUUAACAGGAAAUUUCUGGAGCACCCAAAUAAGUAAUGAAACCAAUUUGAAGGAAAAAAAUAGACCUCUCAAUGACUUGAUAUCCAAUCUCUUUUAACACCAAUAGAAUUAUUCAGGCAUCCUCACCAAUUCCUUAAGAAAAAAUACAUUGAUAGAAGAUUCUACAAUUGUCUACUUUCACACCUUCUCUUUA